UUAGAUUAGAAUGGAAUUUUCGAAAAACAAAGUCGUAUUAAACUUAGAGGCAUCAUAACCUUAAAGGAAAUCAAUAAUGACACAAGAGACCGCUCAAAAUAUGCAAUAAUUGUUCCAUCUGAAUAUAUUCUCAUUAUUUGAAGAGUAUUUAAAAUUCAAAAAAAUAGUGCUUCCAUAUUUUGUCUUCAACUUCUAUCUACUUUUGUGUAUGAGUUUUCAAAGCUCAUCGGAGCAGGUCCUCACGACUCAACAAGGGACUGGCAGUUAGGGUUCCGUUUUUCUCUAAAGAGGUGAAAGACAAAGAGAACUUAUCCGAGAUGGAGAGGAACCUGAGUACCGACGAUGGCUGCUUGGAUUUCCGAUGACGAUGACGAUGGCCACUUGGAAGAGUGUCGACGACGAUGGUGAAGCCCUGUGAUUAGCGGCAGAAGCAAUGAGACAGAGAACGAAAGAGAAAGGAAAAUGGCUACGUUAGGCCUUU
rnacentral:lncRNA from 1 species